GAUGAACGCUAGCUACAGGCUUAACACAUGCAAGUCGAGGGGCAGCAUGAAUUUACUUCGGUAGAUUUGAUGGCGACCGGCGCACGGGUGCGUAACGCGUAUCCAACCUUCCCGUUACUCCGGGAUAGCCUUCCGAAAGGGAGAUUAAUACCGGAUGGUGUUCAAGUGGUGCAUAUUAUUUGAACUAAAGAUUUAUCGGUAACGGAUGGGGAUGCGUACCAUUAGAUAGUAGGCGGGGUAACGGCCCACCUAGUCGACGAUGGUUAGGGGUUCUGAGAGGAAGGUCCCCCACACUGGAACUGAGACACGGUCCAGACUCCUACGGGAGGCAGCAGUGAGGAAUAUUGGUCAAUGGCCGGGAGGCUGAACCAGCCAAGUAGCGUGAAGGAUGAAGGUUCUAUGGAUUGUAAACUUCUUUUAUACGGGAAUAAAACCACCUACGUGUAGGUGCUUGUAUGUACCGUAUGAAUAAGCAUCGGCUAACUCCGUG
rnacentral:rRNA from 1 species